UGGACUUCAUGACGGAACGCGAUGCUGGGUCGGGAUCGUCGGACUCUGAAUUUCGAGCUGUGGUCUGGUGAGUACUGCUAAAUUUAAGGCUGAACCAAACCACACCCUAAACUUAACCGUCACAGACCCAGCGGUUUAAAAACCUAGCCGGUUUAAUUCUAACACAGCUAAAUUUAAGGCUGAACUAAAACACACCCUAAACUUAACCAUCAUAGACCCAGUGUUUAUAGUCUAACGAUGACACUUACCGUCUUUGGGACAAGGCAGUCUGGCUGAAACAGGACUUCAUGGCGGAACUCGAUGCUGGGUCGGGAUCGUCGGACUCUGAAUUUCGAGCUGUGGUCUGGUUGCCUUGUUUAAAUCUGGCUGGGGGACUACAGAUGAAAAUUAGCACUUUUGAGCUAACUCGGACCAGAUAGUGGAUUGG